UAUCUCUGUAGAGUCUGCAUAUCAAUAAGCGGAGGAAAAGAAACUAACAAGGAUUCCCUAGUAACGGCGAGUGAAGCGGGAAGAGCUCAAAUUUGAAAUCUUAAAGGUUUUACCUUGACGAAUUGUAGUUUAAAGAAGUGUUUUCUGUUGAAGUUUCGGUAAAAGUUCUUUGGAAUAGGACAUCAUAGAGGGUGAGAAUCCCGUAUUUGACCGUUAUUUUCAGCUGUGUGAUACACUUUCAAAGAGUCGGAUUGUUUGGGAAUGUAGUCCAAAAUGGGUGGUAAAUUUCAUCUAAAGCUAAAUAUUGGCGAGAGACCGAUAGCGAACAAGUACCGUGAGGGAAAGAUGAAAAGAACUUUGAAAAGAGAGUUAAACAGUACGUGAAAUUGUCAAAAGGGAAGCGUUUGACACCAGUGUUGUUUUCUCGAAAAUCAAUUAAAAAUGGCUUGAUUUUGUGUUGUAUUGACCUUAAAAGCUUUCUUCACUUUUUCAUGUCUUUUUUAAUGCACUUUUCGUUUAACAAGUCAACAUCAGUUUCUUUUGUUGUAAAAAGGUCAUUGGAAGGUGGCUUUCUUUUCGGAGAAAGUGUUUAUAGCCUUUGACUUCUGCAAUCGGAGAGAUUGAGGUCUGCAGCGUAGAUCCUUCGGGGUUAGAUACAUUUGUGCUAAGUUAUAGUUUUUCAUAGACAACAUGUUGACUAUGAUUAAUCACGUAGCUUACUCGCUUAUGCUAUUUUACCUACGCUUAGGAUGUUGAUCUCUCACAGUCGAGC
rnacentral:rRNA from 1 species